GUGGGGAAUAUUGGACAAUGGGCGAAAGCCUGAUCCAGCAAUGCCGCGUGAGUGAUGAAGGCCCUAGGGUUGUAAAGCUCUUUUACCCGGGAUGAUAAUGACAGUACCGGGAGAAUAAGCCCCGGCUAACUCCGUGCCAGCAGCCGCGGUAAUACGGAGGGGGCUAGCGUUGUUCGGAAUUACUGGGCGUAAAGCGCGCGUAGGCGGCUUUGUAAGUUAGCGGUGAAAGCCCGGGGCUCAACCCCGGAACUGCCUUUGAAACUAGGUAACUAGAAUCUUGGAGAGGUCAGUGGAAUUCCGAGUGUAGAGGUGAAAUUCGUAGAUAUUCGGAAGAACACCAGUGGCGAAGGCGACUGACUGGACAAGUAUUGACGCUGAGGUGCGAAAGCGUGGGGAGCAAACAGGAUUAGAUACCCUAGUAGUCC
rnacentral:rRNA from 1 species